rnacentral:lncRNA from 1 species
GUGACUCUGCACACAAAGGCUGCUCAUUGUAGCCACGUCUGAAUGCCUGUGAAUAGGACGGAACAUAUGCAGCCUGUCACCGCAGGUGCCCACAUCUGUUCUUCCCCGGGCAGAUGCUCACAGAAAAGGGGAAAUGGGGAGGCCAGGGGAGGACAUCGCACUCGAAAGCCUCCACGGUCGCCUCGUCCUGGGAUCCUCGGGAGUGGCCUUGGAAGGCCGAGCCGCACGUUCGGAGGCGGAAAGUUCGGAGGGGCUUCGAGCAGCUGCCGCGGUAAUCUGAUCCCGGGACAAAGGCGCGCCCGCCGGUGCUGCGGCCACAGCCGCCUGUCCCAUUAAAGAAGAAAAAAAUCUAUGACACACGUCAUAACCCUUCGGCACAGAACAAGUUCCGACCCUCGGCCCACGCACGGGUCCCAGGACGCGUCCGCAGGGAAGGCUGGUGGGGGACACUCCAGGCAUCUGUGGGACCACAGGCCCUGUGGAUGCGCUGCGCAGAGGGCAGAGGCGCUCUGGGUGUCGCUCACCUGUGCCUGCUGACCAGUAAGAGGGAAGCGCUUACCUACUAAACAUCAUCCUGGAGCCCUUCGGGUCCAGGUUAGAAAUAAAGGUCCAGAUAUAACCAC